GGAGGUGCGUGGUCGGCUGGUGCCACCCCCGGUCUUCAAAACCGGUGCGAGGCAGCUCUCGCUGUCUUGGGCAGGUUCGAUUCCUGUGUGCCUUC
rnacentral:tRNA from 1 species